rnacentral:tRNA from 1 species
GCCUGGGUGGCUCAGUCAGUUGAGCAUCUGAUUUUGAUUCAGGUCAUGAUCUCGCAGUUCGUGGUUUCAAGCCCCACCUCGGGUU